CAAAGAGAACACCUAGGCAGCAAGCCUGCAAGGUAGAGGUGAUGGUAGUGCCGUUGACUUGGAGGGCGACAGACACAGGAGUAGCGACACUUGAUGGAGGAAAGACCUGAAGUUUCUGUUUUGGAUAGGCUGAGUUUAAGGAAAUGAGCAGCCAUCCAGUUGGAAAUCACAGAGAGGCAGUCAGAGACACGAGUCAAGAUGGGUGGAGAGAGAUCAGAAGAAGAAGGUAGAUUUUCAUGCCAUCUGCAUAUAAAUGAUAAUAGAAGCCAUAGAAGCUUAUGAGUUCACCAAGGGAGGCAGUAUAGAUAGAGAACAGUAGGGGACCAAGAACAGAACCUUGG